AACCUAGCACACCUGCGGUGUGUACCUGCGGAAGGAUCAUUAUCAAGUUACAGCGGAGGCGCCCUCGGGUGUCCUCCUGUCUGCAACCCUUGUCUUUUGCGUACUGUAUGUUUCCUCGGCGGGUUCGCCCGCCGAUAGGACAUUCAUAAACCCUUCGUAGUUGCAAUCAGCGUCAGAAAAAACUAUAAUAGUUACAACUUUUAACAAUGGAUCU
rnacentral:misc_RNA from 1 species